AGGGCGCAUGGUGAAUGCCUUGGCACUAGGAGCCGAAGAAGGACGCGAUAAGCUGCGAUAAGCCUUGGGUAGCCGCAAAUAGGCUGAGAUCCAGGGAUUUCCGAAUGAGGAAACUCACAUGGGUAACCCCAUGUAUUAUGCACUGAAUACAUAGGUGUAUAAGGGUAAACCCGGGGAACUGAAACAUCUAAGUACCCGGAGGAAGAGAAAGAAAAAUCGAUUUCCUAAGUAGCGGCGAGCGAACGGGAAAGAGCCCAAACCAGAAACUUGUUUCUGGGGUUGUGGAUAGAUCAUAAAAGAAGAGGUAUCUUAAUCGAAGAGGGCUGGAACGCCCUACCAUAGAAGGUAAUAGUCCUGUAGAUAAAAAGAGAAAACUUCGAGAUCUAAUCCAGAGUACCACGAGACACGUGAAACCUUGUGGGAAGCAGGGAGGACCACCUCCCAAGGCUAAAUACUACCUAGUGACCGAUAGUGAAGCAGUACCGUGAGGGAAAGGUGAAAAGAACCCCGGAAGGGGAGUGAAAUAGAACCUGAAACCGUGUGCCUACAACCGAUCGGAGCACGUUAAAGUGUGACGAUGUGCUUUUUGUAGAACGAGCCAGCGAGUUACGCUAUGUAGCAAGGUUAAGUACUUAAGGUAUGGAGCCGAAGGGAAACCGAGUCUGAAAAGGGCGAAAAGUUGCAUGGUGUAGACCCGAAACCGGGUGACCUAUCCAUGGCCAGGUUGAAGCGAGAGUAAAAUCUCGUGGAGGACCGAACCACGUUGGUGUUGAAAAACCAUGGGAUGAGCUGUGGAUAGCGGAGAAAUUCCAAUCGAACUCGGAGAUAGCUGGUUCUCCUCGAAAUAGCUUUAGGGCUAGCGUCGUGUAAUUGAGUAAUGGAGGUAGAGCACUGAAUGGGCUAGGGGCUAUAGUAGUUACCGAACCCUAUCAAACUCCGAAUGCCAUAUACUUGUAUCACGGCAGUCAGACUGCGAAUGAUAAGAUCCGUAGUCAAAAGGGAAACAGCCCAGACCAUCAGCUAAGGUCCCAAAGUGUAAGUUAAGUGGAAAAGGAUGUGGGAUUUCUAAGACAACUAGGAUGUUGGCUUAGAAGCAGCCACUCAUUUAAAGAGUGCGUAAUAGCUCACUAGUCAAGAGAUCCUGCGCCGAAGAUGUCCGGGGCUCAAACUUACCACCGAAGCUAUGGGUGUACACUAUGUGUACGCGGUAGAGGAGCUUUCUGUAUGGGUUGAAGUCGUACCGUAAGGAGCGGUGGACUGUACAGAAGUGAGAAUGCUGGCAUAAGUAGCGAGAAAUAAGUGAGAAUCUUAUUGGCCGAAAACCUAAGGUUUCCUGAGGAAGGUUCGUCCGCUCAGGGUUAGUCGGGACCUAAGCCGAGGCCGAAAGGCGUAGGUGAUGGACAAUCGGUUGAUAUUCCGAUACCGCCUAUUUACGUUUGAGAAAUGGGGUGACGCAGUAGGAUAAGAUGUGCGCACUAUUGGAUGUGCGUCUAAGCACUUAGGCAUGCUUGAUAGGCAAAUCCGUCGAGCUAAGCUGAGGUGUGAUGGGGAGCCAUUUAUGGCGAAGUAUCUGAUUCCACACUGCCAAGAAAAGCCUCUAUCGAGUGAAUAGGUGCCCGUACCGCAAACCGACACAGGUAGGUGAGGAGAGAAUCCUAAGGCCAUCGGAAGAAUUGCUGUUAAGGAACUCGGCAAAUUGACCCCGUAACUUCGGGAGAAGGGGUGCCUACGAAAGUAGGCCGCAGAGAAUAGGCCCAAGCAACUGUUUAGCAAAAACACAGGUCUCUGCUAAAGCGAAAGCUGAUGUAUAGGGGCUGACGCCUGCCCGGUGCUGGAAGGUUAAGGGGAACACUUAGCGUAAGCGAAGGUGUGAACUUAAGCCCCAGUAAACGGCGGCCGUAACUAUAACGGUCCUAAGGUAGCGAAAUUCCUUGUCGGGUAAGUUCCGACCCGCACGAAUGGCGUAAUGAUUUGGGCACUGUCUCAACAGCAAAUCCGGCGAAAUUGUAGUGCAAGUGAAGAUGCUUGCUACCCGCGAUUGGACGGAAAGACCCCGUAGAGCUUUACUGUAGCUUAGCAUUGAAUCUCGGUAUUGUCUGUACAGGAUAGGUGGGAGACUUGGAAACUUGGGCGUCAGCCUGAGUGGAGUCAUCCUUGGGAUACCACCCUGACAGUACUGGGGUUCUAACCGGCGGCCAUGA
rnacentral:rRNA from 1 species